rnacentral:rRNA from 1 species
AAUGAACGCUGGCGGCGUGCCUAACACAUGCAAGUCGAGCGAGAAAGUCCCCUUCGGGGGGCGAGUAAAGCGGCGCACGGGUGAGUAACGCGUGGGUAACCUGCCCUUGAGUGGGGGAUAACCAGCCGAAAGGCUGACUAAUCCCGCAUACGACCGGCAGACACAAGUCUGUCGGGGAAAGAUGGCCUCUGCUUGCAAGCUAUCGCUCUUGGAUGGGCCCGCGUUGGAUUAGCUAGUUGGUGGGGUAACGGCCUACCAAGGCUGCGAUCCAUAGCUGGUUUGAGAGGACGACCAGCCACACUGGAACUGAGACACGGUCCAGACUCCUACGGGAGGCAGCAGUGAGGAAUAUUGCGCAAUGGGGGAAACCCUGACGCAGCGACGCCGUGUGAGCGAUGAAGGCCUUCGGGUCGUAAAGCUCUGUCAGAGGGAAAGAAAGGGUCGGCGGAAUAAGUACCCGCCGACAUUGACGGUACCCUCGGACGGAAGCACCGGCUAACUCCGUGCC